GAGAGAGGAAGGGCGGCUGCCGACACCUUUUCCGUCAACGCUUUUGCGCUUGCCUCGAAUCAGAGAUUCGCAGGCAGUUUCAGAUAUUCCAUCUGGAACAAGCGGAAAAGGGUUGUUGAGGAAAGUCCCCCCACCAUCUGGACAUAUGAGUGUGUGCAAGCACACAAGGCGAGAGUCUUGGCUCUGGAACAGAAACGAUACCACGCUACACCAAUGCGAUGAUUCGAGUAUGGGAAUCGCUUUUGCGAUUUUUGACGAUGAGGUCGUGCAUGUCGUGGCUGGAACGGCGAAACCUCGUAGGUGCAAGCCAAAGAUGGGCAGAUAAGGAGUCCAGCCGAUGCCCAAAGUAUGGCGCUUAGAUGAAUGCCGCUGAAACAGAAGGGGGCUUACUCCCCUCACUC
rnacentral:RNase_P_RNA from 15 species